CGAUUGUCAAACUUGGUAAUCGAUUGUUUAUCAUAUUUAUGACCUGACAAGAAUCGAUUGUAGAGCCAAAACGGUAACAUAAGUUUAAAAUAGAUAAUCGAUUGUCAAUAUAUAACAAUUAAUAUUGACUCAAUUAUAACAUUUCUAAACUUUGUCUUGAGCUUCUUGUAAUGCAUCCAUUUUGUGCUUGUCCUUGAGUACUGCUAUAUAUCGC
rnacentral:lncRNA from 1 species